rnacentral:hammerhead_ribozyme from 1 species
AUCCAGCUGACGAGUCCCAAAUAGGACGUAACGCGUGUUCUGGAU